rnacentral:rRNA from 1 species
ACUCCUACGGGAGGCAGCAGUGGGGAAUAUUGCACAAUGGGGGAAACCCUGAUGCAGCCAUGCCGCGUGUGUGAAGAAGGCCUUCGGGUUGUAAAGCACUUUCAGCGAGGAGGAAAGGGUGUAAGUUAAUACCUUACAUCUGUGACGUUACUCGCAGAAGAAGCACCGGCUAACUCCGUGCCAGCAGCCGCGGUAAUACGGAGGGUGCGAGCGUUAAUCGGAAUUACUGGGCGUAAAGCGUGCGCAGGCGGUUUGUUAAGCGAGAUGUGAAAGCCCGGCUCAG